ACGGUCUCCUUUCGGGAGAUAGUGGCGGAAGGGUUAGUAAUACAUAAACAAUCUGCCUUUAACCUGGGAAUAACGACUGGAAACGGUCGCUAAUACCGAAUGAAGUGGCACAGGGCAUCCUGUUGCUAUAAAAGUGGGGGACCAGCAAUGGCCUUGCGGUUGAAGAGGAGUUUAUGGGAUAUCAGCUUGUUGGGGAGGUAACGGCUCACCAAGC
rnacentral:rRNA from 1 species